GAGUAACACGUGAGCAAUCUGCCCCUGACUCUGGGAUAAGCGCUGGAAACGGCGUCUAAUACCGGAUACGAGCUGCGAAGGCAUCUUCAGCAGCUGGAAAGAAUUUCGGUCAGGGAUGAGCUCGCGGCCUAUCAGCUUGUUGGUGAGGUAACGGCUCACCAAGGCGUCGACGGGUAGCCGGCCUGAGAGGGUGACCGGCCACACUGGGACUGAGACACGGCCCAGACUCCUACGGGAGGCAGCAGUGGGGAAUAUUGCACAAUGGGCGAAAGCCUGAUGCAGCAACGCCGCGUGAGGGACGACGGCCUUCGGGUUGUAAACCUCUUUUAGCAGGGAAGAAGCGAAAGUGACGGUACCUGCAGAAAAAGCGCCGGCUAACUACGUGCCAGCAGCCGCGGUAAUACGUAGGGCGCAAGCGUUAUCCGGAAUUAUUGGGCGUAAAGAGCUCGUAGGCGGUUUGUCGCGUCUGCUGUGAAAACCCGAGGCUCAACCUCGGGCCUGCAGUGGGUACGGGCAGACUAGAGUGCGGUAGGGGAGAUUGGAAUUCCUGGUGUAGCGGUGGAAUGCGCAGAUAUCAGGAGGAACACCGAUGGCGAAGGCAGAUCUCUGGGCCGUAACUGACGCUGAGGAGCGAAAGGGUGGGGAGCAAACAGGCUU
rnacentral:rRNA from 1 species